UAAUACGGAAGAUGCGAGCGUUAUCCGGAUUUAUUGGGUUUAAAGGGAGCGUAGGCGGGCUUUUAAGUCAGCGGUCAAAUGCCACGGCUCAACCGUGGCCAGCCGUUGAAACUGCAAGCCUUGAGUCUGCACAGGGCACAUGGAAUUCGUGGUGUAGCGGUGAAAUGCUUAGAUAUCACGAAGAACUCCGAUCGCGAAGGCAUUGUGCCGGGGCAGCACUGACGCUGAGGCUCGAAAGUGCGGGUAUCAAACAGGAUUAGAUACCCUGGUAGUCCGCACGGUAAACGAUGAAUGCUCGCUAUGGGCGAUACAAUGUCCGUGGCCAAGCGAAAGCGUUAAGCAUUCCACCUGGGGAGUACGCCGGCAACGGUG
rnacentral:rRNA from 1 species